UACGUAGGGUGCGAGCGUUGUCCGGAAUUACUGGGCGUAAAGAGCUCGUAGGUGGUUUGUCGCGUUGUUCGUGAAAACUCACAGCUCAACUGUGGGCGUGCGGGCGAUACGGGCAGACUGGAGUACUGCAGGGGAGACUGGAAUUCCUGGUGUAGCGGUGAAAUGCGUAGAGAUCAUGAGGAAGACCAGUGGCGAAGGCGGGUCUCUGGACAGUUCCUGACACUGAGGCACGAAGGCCAGGGGAGCAAACGGG
rnacentral:rRNA from 1 species